rnacentral:rRNA from 1 species
UACGGAGGGCGCGAGCGUUGUCCGGAAUUACUGGGCGUAAAGGGCGCGUAGGCGGCCUGCUAAGUCGGAUGUGAAAUCCCUCGGCUCAACCGAGGAACUGCAUCCGAUACUGGCGGGCUUGAAUCCGGGAGAGGGAUGUGGAAUUCCAGGUGUAGCGGUGAAAUGCGUAGAUAUCUGGAGGAACACCGGUGGCGAAGGCGGCAUCCUGGACCGGUAUUGACGCUGAGGCGCGAAAGCUAGGGGAGCAAACGGG